UUGAUUACGUCCCUGCCCUUUGUACACACCGCCCGUCGCUCCUACCGAUUGAAUGAUCCGGUGAAAUGUUCGGAUCGCGGCGACGUGGGCGGUUCGCUGCCCGCGACGUCGCGAGAAGUCCAUUGAACCUUAUCAUUUAGAGGAAGGAGAAGUCGUAACAAGGUUUCCGUAGGUGAACCUGCGGAAGGAUCAUUG
rnacentral:rRNA from 1 species